rnacentral:rRNA from 1 species
GUGUCAGCAGCCGCGGUAAUACAGAGGGUGCGAGCGUUGUUCGGAAUUAUUGGGCGUAAAGCGCUGGUAGGUGGCUUGAAAAGUCGCGUGUGAAAGCUUCCGGCUCAACCGGAAAAGUGCGCGCGAAACUGGCGAGCUUGAGUGCCGGAGAGGGUCGCGGAAUUCCCGGUGUAGAGGUGAAAUUCGUAGAUAUCGGGAGGAACACCAGAGGCGAAGGCGGCGACCUGGAAGGUAACUGACACUGAGCAGCGAAAGCGUGGGUAGCAAACAGGAUUAGAUACCCUGGUAGUCCACGCCGUAAACGAUGGGUGCUAGCUGUGGCGGGAGUUGACCCCUGCCGUGGCGACGCUAACGCAAUAAGCACCCCGCCUGGGGAGUACGGCCGCAAGGCUAAA